GGGGGGGGGGGCAGAGGGGUCAGGACAGCACUCAACAACAUUCUCUCUCGUCCUGUGAGGAUCCAUACCACCUUUCUCUAUUUCUUAAAGACUAAAAACAAGGAUAACUUGACAUUUUUAGAAUCUUCACUAACUUAAUCUCCUUUUAAAGGGCCCUUAUUACUACUCACCGGGAGCGAGUGUGAUUAGCCGUUACAAGCCGUUUGAAAAUCUGCCUCUUCCUGUGCCUUAGUGACAUCACAAGUGGGAGUGUCCACCUAGAUAUAUAUAAGACGGAUUGGACGGACACGCCCACUUGUGAUGUCACUAAGGCACCGAGGUGCCUUAGUGACAUCACACGUGGGAGUGUCCACCUAGAUACUGUAUAUAUUGGACGGAUAAGCAACAUUUGCCACAGUCCAUAGAGAGAGGGAGGAGAACGGGGUUUUAGUCGCCCGGUCCAGGUGCCGAUUGUCAGCUCCAGAUGGGCGUUGUGCUCGGGCGGCUGAAUACUCUGUCAUUCGCUGGAUGGAUGAAUAAGGUGGCUUUUUACUCGUCCUCAAAGGCAGAACGUACGUUUGACAGCAGUCGCAGUGGAUAGAGCAGAUAGUCAAAAUAAUAUCAAAUAAAUACAGAUAAGACUUCAGAAUGAACACAAGUGUGAAAUAUAAUGUGUACAAUAUAGAAAAAAGUUAGCAGCCAGAAAGCUCAAUGUAUCUAAGCAUGUGGACUUAAUAUAUAAUAUGCCUCUAAGUUAGGUGAGGUAGUGGAGUAUGCACUUUGGUUCCACUACAGUAAAGCCUAAUGGAACUGCUGUUCUUUUUUUUUUAAUACUUUCUUUUUUAGAAUCACCACGUGUCUGUACAUUCAAAUGUACACAUGAAACAAUGAGACAAAAAACACAACAACAACAUUGACAACAAACUAGACACGCACAUAAAGCAACAUAAACAAACAAGCAAAACAAACAAACAAACAACUACAUUGACAACAAACUAGACACGCACAUAAAGCAACAUACACAAACAAGCAAAAUCAACAAACAAACAACAAAAAAAAAAAAAAAAAAAACUGCUGUUCUUUGAGUGGAAGGACAAACAUGCUGUGCGUGUGUGUGCGCGUGUGUACGAGUGUGUGUGUGUACUCAGAGGAAUGCUAUCAUGCUAGGUGCUCAUGAAUGUGUGUGUGAUGCUAACAUGCUAGGUGCUCAUGAAUGUGUGCUUGAUGCUAACAUGCUAGGUGCUCAUGAAUGUGUGUUUGAUGCUAACAUGCUAGGUGCUCAUGAAUGUGUGCGUGCACCUCAGAGUGAUGCUAGCCUUGGAGGCCCGCGCUCCAUCAAGAACCUGCGGCGGUCCAACAGCACAACGCAGGUCAACCAGCAGGCCAACAUCAGCUUAAGAAUGCCGAGGGUCACAGGACUACCGCUCCCAGAAUGCCGAGGGUCAAAAAGCGGGGAAUCCAGAACAGUCUGUAGUCCGACCAUUGGUGUCCGAUUGUUCCUACGAAGCAUCAAUUUAAAUCCAAAUCAUAGGCGUUUUGAGACACUGACCUGUCAAACUAAGAUGCAUCGUUGAAUGCUAUUAAUGAGGAGUUGAGGGUUGAUUUCCAACGAUGAAUUAAGUCGAUCUCCGUUUGAGUUUUCUUUGGUCCCCAUCUCCGCCCAACAUUGUUAAAAUGUAUUUUUGAUUGGUCCUCUUCGACCAUCCGAGUCCCGGUUUGAGUGGCGAGUUGCCUGAUGAUGUGAUACUGAAUUCGUUUAGUUUGGGUUUUGAUUUAUUCCGACCUUAAUCCCGGGUUUGCUGAGUGUGGAUGCUAUUUAGUCCCAGCCUACGGCGAGCCAUAGUGGAUCCAAGUGUUGUAGACCCGGAUUUAAAACCUAAUAAAGAACAAUUAAUUCCUAAAAUCCAACAUCCUGUCGUCAUUUGUCCACGAUAGAGGAAGGAAACCCUUCGAAGGUGCUCGGUGACCAAGAGGAAGAAGCAUCGGCCAUCCCUGACGGUGGAGUAGUGCAGCCUGGUUCUAAUCACGCGGCUCGGAGGGGUUUGGGUCCUACUUCUCCCUGCAGUUAUGUAGAGAACAUCCCUCACACGGCCCCCCCCCCCGUCCACCGCACAGCAGAUCAGAGGGUCCGGUUACCGGCACGUCUGAGGCUGGAAGGUCAGCGCCAGUUCUGAACCUCAUCUCCAUGGCAACACUGGACUGCCUGUGCCUCAGAUGGACAGCAGAUGAAAGAGGCCGCGCACUGCUGCAAGAAGGGUCGCAGAACUGGCUGAUCCCAACGCAGUUCCCUAAUCAUUUGUAAAUGAUUAGAGCUAAUCAAUCGCAGAUACACGAUAACCGAUGGAGGCAGACACACACCUCCCAAAAGUUGGGAGGUGUGUGUCUGUCUGGAUGGAAGGGGCGGUUACACAAUGAUCUACAACUCCGCACAACUGGACUCACCCAGACGAGGCUGCCUGUGAUCCCAGGACCGGAGUGGUAAGGCAUUCUACCGUGGUCUGGUUGAGGUAUGGAUUCUACGCUUCAUUCUGCAUGCCAAACAUCAGUCACCAUCGAAACUUAAGUUUUGGUUUUCUAACUACGAGGAUGGGUCGAGCAAACAGUGAAUCCUCAUUAUUGCGUUGUCUUAUGUUGCAGGUUGUUCUGUCUGGGCUUCAGGAUGCUGGUUGUAGCUGUUGCUGAAAGAGUACUUUAAAUAGGGUACAUGUCAUAUUAUAUAAAUGCUUUAAAUAUGUGUAAAUAAAUAAAUAUUAAUAAAUAAGUUCAUGAUGAGCAAGGUUAUAAAAUAUGAUUACAAAUGUGUGAUUGUUCAUCUCCUGGAGAGAACGUAUGUGUAUUUUGUUAAUUGUGUUGCAAGGCGGAACAAUUGUUGUAAUGUUACGCCCCCCACGGACUGAUAAGAGGAGAGAACAUGAAAGAAAGUUGGAGCCAUAAGCACGUUGUCUUCAGCUCCUCAAAAGAUUUACAAGUUAAAUGCACUGUAUGAUAAGAAACUUCAAGCAAACCUCUGUUAGAACCUCUUUUCGUUACAAGCAGCCAACGAGGUAUUGUAUUUUUGUAAUUUCAUUUCUUUAUUAGUGUUUAUUGAUGCAAACCGUUAUCUGACGUACUGUAUUGUACUGUGUUUAAGUUCUCACGGCGUGGAUGGUGUGUACAGCAAGAAGAAAGGCAUCAAUAAACGCCCGUUUUCCAAAAAGAACUGUUCCUGUGUUGCCGUGUAUUCGAAAGGAGUUACAGUGAGAACUCGACUGCCUUCGCGGGUAGGAGAGACACGGGACCAUAUGGUGGAAGAAGACGAUAGAAGCAAGUUCAACGAACAUUGAUAGCUAAGUUUCCAUUCAUGCUAGCGCAUCUCGAAGACGAAGAUUAGCCUGCCUGUCAAUCAAGUCGAUUUCCAGGACAAAGAAGCCCCGCCAAAGCCAAGUGGUGGGAGAAGAAGUUUCUGGAAUUCACAAGGACUCAGGUUAUCACUUUGCAAACGGUGCCUAGUAUGAAGGUUUCAAACUAGUAUUAUGUUCAUUUGCUGAUAUUGUCGAACUGUAUGUGUUUAACUGCAAAUUAGUCCAACUGCAGACCAAGAAGGCUUUUAGUUUCAAACGGUGCAACAGCAUAAUUCAAAAGAAAGAUUUUGUAAUUUCAGUUCAUUCUGCCAGGUGUAAAAGGCAUUCUUAAGUUAAAGCAAGAUUGGCAUAUUUCUGUUAAUUAAGCCAGCUUAAUAAGGCAUCUUUGAGUUUGGUCAAGAUUUAUACAUUUUCUGUUUACUAAGCAAAGGGCAUUUUAAGUUGAAUUUAUAAGUCUAUGGGAGACUCAAUGUACAUAUAAACCCCAAAUUAAGUAAUAAUCAAAAUAGGCCCAAGUAACUUCCUCUUUAUUAAGAGCUUUCUGCACAAACCUUUAGGAAGCAUUUGCAGAAUUAACAAGUAAACAGUAGGCUGUUCAAGUAAAACAUAGCCUAGGCUAAAUAGGCCUAAUUUAAGUGACUAGGUAUUUUCAACUCAUAUAAAACUACUUCCAAAUUAGUUUAAUUAAUCUUCUCAACACAUUGUCAAUUGACAAGCCUCAUUAUUUCAAUAUGUCUGAUUCAAGCACAAAGGUUACAGAUUCAAACAUAAAUGUUACAGAACCAAACACAGAUAUUAUAGAACAGAUCACAAGCUCACAUAUUACUGAACAACACACAGACUCACUAGCUCAGCCCGAGGUUGAUGCCCAAGCUGUAGAAGGAGAAGACACUGUGCGAAGAAGCAAAAGAACUCGAACCUUGACGGAAAAGGGGAAAGAGCUCCAAGAAGAAAAUUCAAAAGGCGUACAUCGCAGAUACAGACUUGCCUAUGAGAAAUGGAAGUGUAAUGCGAAGCUAGCUAAAGAAUGGUUGAGUGAUGAAAUCUCAGAUGAAGAAUUAAACAAGUUGAUUGACGAUCUACAAUCCACAUGCACAGAUGUUAAGACAACAUAUGAAGAACUCCGUCAAAUACAAGCUCCUGAUGCAGACGUGCGACGCAAAGUGGAUGCAUGUGUAGCUAUGUCCGAAUUCAUGAUUAAAAGAGCACAACAACUCAUUGAUGGUGACGCUGCAUUGAAUGAGGAACAAUGGCCAGACGUCGGCUCCAUUCUCAAUUCAUCAAGUCCAUCAUUAAAGUCUCUAUACCUCCGUUCAGAACACAACACUCAUUCGAGCAAUCAUUCAGUCAAGAGAGAUGAGGCUGUAGCAGAAGCAGCUGCUGCCAAAGAAGUUUUGUCAGUGCUAGAGGAGCAGGACAAGGAAGUCACUGAACUUCAAAGACUGGAGGCUGAAUCGCUAGCCAGACAACAGGCAAUACAAAAUCAGCUCCGAAAGCUUGAGCGCUUAGAAGAAGUAAAAAAGCUGAAUGCAGCCAAGGCCCGAGUCAAGGUGUACGAUGAACUCAGUGACAAGUCCGAAGUAGUUAGUCUACCACAUGAUGUCAAAUUGCCAUAUAAGUUACAAACCCACAAAGCAUCAAGUCCUGCAUUCAUUCCUCAACAAGCUCAAGUACAAAGUCAUUAUCAUCCCGACGUUCAAUUAGUCGCACAAGUCUCACCAAAAGGGCAGGCACAAGGUCCUGAUCUAGCAACUGCUCUCGCUGAAGCCAUGAGUGCUAAUCGUCUCCCAACACCUGAACCUACAGUAUACACGGGAGAUCCCAUAAAGUACAACGACUGGAAAUUAUCAUUUCAAAUACUAAUUGACCGAAAAGGCAUUCCAAAAAAUGAGAAACUCUACUACUUGAGAAAGUAUCUAAGCGGUGCUGCGAAGAAAGCUGUCGAGGGACUCUUCCUGAUCGGCACAGAGGCAGCGUACGACACUGCAUGGAAGCUGCUAGAGAAGCGCUUUGGAGACCCUUUCGUAAUCGGGAAGUCCUUCAGAGACAAGCUGCAUGCGUGGCCAAAGGUAAAAUAUAAAGACGGAUGCGAACUCAGAGAACUUGCAGAUUUCCUCCAGAGCUGUGAGGCCGCAAUACCUCAUAUUAAGACGCUAGAGAUUCUCAAUGACUGCACUGAAAGUCAGAAGAUCUUGUCAAAGCUCCCAGACUGGCUUGUGUCGAGAUGGAAUCGUAAAGCAAUGGAAGCAAGACAAGCAAAAGCUGAAUAUCCUCCUUUCAAAGAGUUGGUGAACUUCUUAUCAAAGGAAGCGGAUCUGGCGUGUGACCCAAUAUCCUCUGUCCAAGCACUCAAGAAUACACAGAAUGAGAAACCAAGGCAGACAAGGACUGAAACCAUAAAGGCAAAAACAUUGUCGACAAAUACAACACAGAACACUGUCUCUUGUGUCUUCUGCAAGAAGUCUGGACACCGGCUGGAGAAGUGUUUUAAGUUUGUCGAAAAGACAGUCCCAGAUCGCAUCAAAUUUGUACAAGAAGAAAAACUUUGCUUCGGCUGUCUAAAGACCGGUCACCACUCCAGAAAUUGUGAGGAUAAGAGCAAGUGUGAUACAUGUCGACGAAGACAUCCAACAUGCUUGCAUGACGACAACUUCCAAAAGAGUUCUCAAGCAAAGAAAGUGGAGAGCGACUCAAAUAAAGCCAGAGGAACAGAGCAAACCCCUGCAACUGCCACUGCAACCACCAAUAGAGUUGCCCAAGGCAAUCAAGGCUCACACACAUCCUCAAUAGUACCAGUCUGGGUGUCCUCCACAAAACAGCCUGACCAUGAGAUCUUAACAUAUGCAUUGCUGGAUACGCAGAGUGACACGACAUUCAUCCUUGACCAAGUUGCUCAAGAGCUCAACACGAAGAAAGAGAAUGUCUGUCUGCGGCUUUCCACAAUGUCUUCAGUUUCUACAGUCAUACCCUGUCAAAAACUGUACAACCUUCACGUGAGAGGCUACAACAUUGACAAAAUGAUUUCACUACCACCUCUCUUUUCACGCGAGUUCAUUCCUGCUGAGAGGUCGCACAUUCCCACCUCAGAGACAGCUAAAAAAUGGCCUCAUCUUGAACCAUUGGUCGACAAGAUUCCUCCACCAUUGGACUGCCAAGUCGGCCUACUUAUAGGCUACAACUGCCAUCAAGCUCUUCUUCCCAGAGAAAUCCUAUGCGGAGAAGAAGGCCAUCCAUAUGGUCAACGGACCGACCUUGGAUGGAGCAUUGUAGGCUGUUCCAAGCCAGCUACUGAGUAUGAAGAUGCAAUAGGUCUGAGCCAUAGGGUCAUUGUACGACAAGUGACUCCUGCUGCACAACCUCUAAGUCGGCUCAAAGAAGAAGUACACUUCGUCUGCAGAAAUCAGGUCAAAGAGCUGAAUCCGUCUGAAAUCAUCAAGGCACUUGAAAUGGAUUUCACAGACCAGUCAACAGACGACAAUCCAGUCUCUCAAGACGAUCUUCUCUUCAUGUCAAGAGUGAAAGAGGGGAUAAGACAGAAAGAAGAUGGGCACUAUGAACUACCACUUCCGUUCAAGAAAGAGAAACCCAGUCUGCCAAGUAACGAAAGAUGUGCAGUUAACAGAUUAGCAGCACUGGAGAGACGACUAAGAAAGAACGAACAAUACUACAAUGACUAUGUUCUAUUCAUGAAUGACAUCAUUGCUCGUGGAGACGCUGUCAAAGUCCCAGAGUCUGAACUCCACAAGCAACCAGCAUGGUAUAUUCCGCACCACGGAGUCUACCACCCUCACAAACCAGGGAAGAUACGCGUAGUCUUCGACUGUUCUGCACGUUUCCAAGAUACAUCGCUCAAUGAUCACCUCUUAACUGGACCAGACCUGACGAACACUUUGGUCGGUGUGCUGAUCCGAUUCAGGAAGGGCCCAAUCGCCAUAAUGUGUGACAUUGAGAAGAUGUUUCACCAAUUCCACGUGGCAAGAGAACACCAGGACUACUUGAGGUUCCUCUGGUGGGACAAAGGCGAUAUGAACUCUAAACCCUCGGUGUACAGGAUGCGCGUGCACUUGUUUGGGGCAGCUUCAUCACCCGGCUGCUCCAACUUUGCCCUCAAGCACCUUGCCGCACAAGGCCGCGGCCACUACAAUGAAGAGGCGAUAAGGUUCAUCCAGAGAAGUUUUUACGUUGAUGAUGGCCUAACAAGUGUUUCCACAACCACAGAGGCAAUCAGCCUGAUCAAAGAAUCAAGAGCCCUAUGCAGAACGGGAAACUUGAGACUACACAAGUUUGUGUCAAACAGUAAGGAUGUGAUCAACUCAGUGCCACCAACAGAAUGUACUCAAGUCAAGGAUCAAGACAUAGCACUAGGAGAACACAUCGAACGAGCCCUCGGUGUCCAGUGGUGUGUUGAAGCAGACGAGUUCCAAUUCAGAAUCAUCGUGAAGGACAAACCACUCACUAGAAGAGGAGUGCUCUCAACUAUCGCCUCUGUCUUCGACCCACUUGGCUUUGUGGCGCCAUUCAUACUGCUCGGUAAGCAGAUUCUUCAAACACUGUGCAGCGAGAAGGUAACCUGGGACGAAGCGCUUCCAGAACACGUUCGCCCACGGUGGGAGUCAUGGCUGAGAGACUUACCUGAGCUGGCAUCUUUGAAAAUCCCAAGAAGUUACUCACCUGAAGAAUUCGGGAAGACUUCAAAGUAUGAACUACACAACUUUUCAGACGCAAGUUGCAUAGGCUACGGUGCCUGCUCGUACCUUCGAGUCACAAGUGAAACCGGACAGGUCAGCUGUUCACUCAUCAUGGGAAAGUCGAGGGUCGCCCCCACGAAACUGACCACAAUCCCAAGACUUGAACUAUCAUCUGCAGUCACCUCUGUGCGCAGUGGUGACUCCAUCAGAGGAGAGCUGGAAAUAGAAGCUCUGCCAGAGUACUACUGGACUGAUUCAAAGGUAGUACUAGGCUAUGUGAAUAAUGAUGCCAAGAGAUUCCAUACAUUCGUUGCGAACCGCAUACAGCGAAUCAAAUCAAGUACCGACUCUGCACAAUGGCACCAUGUCAGCUCCGAAGACAACCCAGCAGACCUGGCGUCUAGAGGAGCCAGUGCAGCCCAAUUGAAGGACUCUUGUUGGUUGAAGGGACCAGACUUCCUUUGGCAACCCAAUCUGUCAAUUAAAGAACCAAUAGUAGAAAUGGAUGAUGCUGACCCAGAACUGCGGAAAGCCUAUGUUCAUACUGUCAAAGUCGAAAUCAAAAACCCAUUGCUCAGCCAUCUAAGUAAGUUCUCAGACUGGUCAAGAGCUGUGAAGGCUGUCGCUAGACUAAAGAAAUACAUCAGGAAACGUAGUGGAGGUCAAGUAGGGACCGGCGAAACUACAAACCUGGAAGAGAGACGCGAAGCAGAGCUGUUCAUCAUCAAGCUUACACAAGAGGAAGCCUUUGCUGAUGAACUAAAGAAAAUCAAAUGCAACGGAGCUGAAAAACUCUGCAAGCGCAACAAGCUCUACCGACUGAACGCCUACCUUGAUGUGAAUGAUAUCCUCAGGGUGGGAGGACGGUUGUCUCAGUCAGCUCUGCACCACGAUGUGAAGCAUCCAGCAAUACUGCCACGGAAAGCACACGUGUCAGACCUGAUUGUCAAGUAUCACCAUGAACGUGUACACCACCAAGGAAGAGGGAUGACAAUGAACGAGAUACGCGCAAAUGGCAUAUGGAUUCUUGGAUGCGGAAGUGUCGUCUCCUCUCACAUCUACAAGUGCGUCCCAUGCAGAAAGUAUAGGAGAACCACAGAAGUUCAACAAAUGGCAGAUCUCCCAGAAGAGAGAACUCUGACAAGUCCUCCAUUUACCUACUGCGGACUCGACUGCUUUGGUCCAUUCCUUGUGAAAGAAGGAAGAAAAGAACUUAAACGAUAUGGGUUGAUCUUUACCUGCUUAUGCUCUAGAGCAGUGCAUAUAGAGACCCUAGACGACAUGACCACUGAUGCGUUCAUUAACGCCCUCAGAACACUCAUAGCCAUCAGAGGCCCUGUGCGACAACUGAGGUGUGAUCAGGGGACAAAUUUUAUGGGUGCUAGAAGAGAGUUUGCAGAGCUACUCAAGGGCAUGGAUCAAGAGCGCCAAAGGGAAAUCGGUUGUGAAUUCAUUGUGAACAUCCCAUCAGCAAGUCAUAUGGGUGGAGUCUGGGAGCGCCAAAUUCGAACAAUUAGAAGCAUCCUGACGACCAUGUUCGACAAGUGGGCAAACAGACUUGACACCACAAGCUUGAAGACGCUCAUGUACGAAACGAUGGCCAUUAUCAACAGCCGACCUUUGAGUGUUGAACAUCUCCACGACCCAACAGCUCCAGAGCCUCUUACGCCAAACCAUAUUCUCACCAUGAAAUCUGCAGUCAUACUGCCACCUCCUGGACAGUUCUGUAAAGAGGAUCUGUAUCUGCACAAGAGAUGGAGAAAGGUGCAGUUCUUGGCGAAUGAAUUCUGGCAAAGAUGGAAGCGAGAAUAUCUGCUGAACCAACAACAACGUCAGAAAUGGCACGGACCAUCAAGGAACUCACAAGUGAACGACAUUGUGAUCCUCAAGGACGAGUGCGCCCCAAGAAAUGAAUGGAAGCUCGCAAGAGUAAUCAAAGCUCAGCCUGGAAGAGAUGGCAAAGUGCGCAAGCUGAAGCUGGUGCUCAGUGAGACUUCUGUCGACAAGGGCAAACCUCACACAAGACUGAUUCAUUUAGAAAGACCUAUUCACAAAAUAGUAACGCUAGUAGAAGCCGUUUAGGACGCACACACACACACAGGCUACACACACAGUCAUGCACACACGCACACAGAUACUUAAAACUGGUGAAGAUAAAAGGGAGAAAUCCCACAUCUCAGGUCAAUGAGUGAUUUGGUGGGAGUGUAGCUGUUGCUGAAAGAGUACUUUAAAUAGGGUACAUGUCAUAUUAUAUAAAUGCUUUAAAUAUGUGUAAAUAAAUAAAUAUUAAUAAAUAAGUUCAUGAUGAGCAAGGUUAUAAAAUAUGAUUACAAAUGUGUGAUUGUUCAUCUCCUGGAGAGAACGUAUGUGUAUUUUGUUAAUUGUGUUGCAAGGCGGAACAAUUGUUGUAAUGUUACGCCCCCCACGGACUGAUAAGAGGAGAGAACAUGCAAGAAAGUUGGAGCCAUAAGCACGUUGUCUUCAGCUCCUCAAAAGAUUUACAAGUUAAAUGCACUGUAUGAUAAGAAACUUCAAGCAAACCUCUGUUAGAACCUCUUUUCGUUACAAGCAGCCAACGAGUUCUCACGGCGUGGAUGGUGUGUACAGCAAGAAGAAAGGCAUCAAUAAACGCCCGUUUUCCAAAAA